AGGGCGCACGGUGGAUGCCUUGGCACUAGAAGCCGAUGAAGGACGUUACUAACGACGAUAUGCUUUGGGGAGCUGUAAGUAAGCUUUGAUCCAGAGAUUUCCGAAUGGGGAAACCCAGCAUGAGUUAUGUCAUGUUAUCGAUAUGUGAAUACAUAGCAUAUCAGAAGGCACACCCGGAGAACUGAAACAUCUUAGUACCCGGAGGAAGAGAAAGAAAAUUCGAUUCCCUUAGUAGCGGCGAGCGAAACGGGAAGAGCCCAAACCAACAAGCUUGCUUGUUGGGGUUGUAGGACACUCUAUACGGAGUUACAAAGGACGACAUUAGACGAAUCAUCUGGAAAGAUGAAUCAAAGAAGGUAAUAAUCCUGUAGUCGAAAAUGUUGUCUCUCUUGAGUGGAUCCUGAGUACGACGGAGCACGUGAAAUUCCGUCGGAAUCUGGGAGGACCAUCUCCUAAGGCUAAAUACUCUCUAGUGACCGAUAGUGAACCAGUACCGUGAGGGAAAGGUGAAAAGCACCCCGGAAGGGGAGUGAAAUAGAACCUGAAACCGUGUGCUUACAAGUAGUCAGAGCCCGUUAAUGGGUGAUGGCGUGCCUUUUGUAGAAUGAACCGGCGAGUUACGAUUUGAUGCAAGGUUAAGCAGUAAAUGUGGAGCCGUAGCGAAAGCGAGUCUGAAUAGGGCGUUUAGUAUUUGGUCGUAGACCCGAAACCAGGUGAUCUACCCUUGGUCAGGUUGAAGUUCAGGUAACACUGAAUGGAGGACCGAACCGACUUACGUUGAAAAGUGAGCGGAUGAACUGAGGGUAGCGGAGAAAUUCCAAUCGAACCUGGAGAUAGCUGGUUCUCUCCGAAAUAGCUUUAGGGCUAGCCUCAAGUGAUGAUUAUUGGAGGUAGAGCACUGUUUGGACGAGGGGCCCCUCUCGGGUUACCGAAUUCAGACAAACUCCGAAUGCCAAUUAAUUUAACUUGGGAGUCAGAACAUGGGUGAUAAGGUCCGUGUUCGAAAGGGAAACAGCCCAGACCACCAGCUAAGGUCCCAAAAUAUAUGUUAAGUGGAAAAGGAUGUGGCGUUGCCCAGACAACUAGGAUGUUGGCUUAGAAGCAGCCAUCAUUUAAAGAGUGCGUAAUAGCUCACUAGUCGAGUGACACUGCGCCGAAAAUGUACCGGGGCUAAACAUAUUACCGAAGCUGUGGAUUGUCCUUUGGACAAUGGUAGGAGAGCGUUCUAAGGGCGUUGAAGCAUGAUCGUAAGGACAUGUGGAGCGCUUAGAAGUGAGAAUGCCGGUGUGAGUAGCGAAAGACGGGUGAGAAUCCCGUCCACCGAUUGACUAAGGUUUCCAGAGGAAGGCUCGUCCGCUCUGGGUUAGUCGGGUCCUAAGCUGAGGCCGACAGGCGUAGGCGAUGGAUAACAGGUUGAUAUUCCUGUACCACCUAUAAUCGUUUUAAUCGAUGGGGGGACGCAGUAGGAUAGGCGAAGCGUGCGAUUGGAUUGCACGUCUAAGCAGUAAGGCUGAGUAUUAGGCAAAUCCGGUACUCGUUAAGGCUGAGCUGUGAUGGGGAGAAGACAUUGUGUCUUCGAGUCGUUGAUUUCACACUGCCGAGAAAAGCCUCUAGAUAGAAAAUAGGUGCCCGUACCGCAAACCGACACAGGUAGUCAAGAUGAGAAUUCUAAGGUGAGCGAGCGAACUCUCGUUAAGGAACUCGGCAAAAUGACCCCGUAACUUCGGGAGAAGGGGUGCUCUUUAGGGUUAACGCCCAGAAGAGCCGCAGUGAAUAGGCCCAAGCGACUGUUUAUCAAAAACACAGGUCUCUGCUAAACCGUAAGGUGAUGUAUAGGGGCUGACGCCUGCCCGGUGCUGGAAGGUUAAGAGGAGUGGUUAGCUUCUGCGAAGCUACGAAUCGAAGCCCCAGUAAACGGCGGCCGUAACUAUAACGGUCCUAAGGUAGCGAAAUUCCUUGUCGGGUAAGUUCCGACCCGCACGAAAGGCGUAACGAUUUGGGCACUGUCUCAACGAGAGACUCGGUGAAAUCAUAGUACCUGUGAAGAUGCAGGUUACCCGCGACAGGACGGAAAGACCCCGUGGAGCUUUACUGUAGCCUGAUAUUGAAAUUCGGCACAGCUUGUACAGGAUAGGUAGGAGCCUUUGAAACGUGAGCGCUAGCUUACGUGGAGGCGCUGGUGGGAUACUACCCUAGCUGUGUUGGCUUUCUAACCCGCACCACUUAUCGUGGUGGGAGACAGUGUCA
rnacentral:rRNA from 1 species